GAUGAACGCUGGCGGCGUGCCUAAUACAUGCCAGUCGAGCGAACAGACGAGGAGCUUGCUCCUCUGACGUUAGCGGCGGACGGGUGAGUAACACGUGGAUAACCUACCUAUAAGACUGGGAUAACUUCGGGAAACCGGAGCUAAUACCGGAUAAUAUAUUGAACCGCAUGGUUCAAUAGUGAAAGACGGUUUUGCUGUCCCUUAUAGAUGGAUCCGCGCCGCAUUAGCUAGUUGGUAAGGUAACGGCUUACCAAGGCGACGAUGCGUAGCCGACCUGAGAGGUUGAUCGGCCACACUGGAACUGAGACACGGUCCAGACUCCUACGGGAGGCAGCAGUAGGGAAUCUUCCGCAAUGGGCGAAAGCCUGACGGAGCAACGCCGCGUGAGUGAUGAAGGUCUUCGGAUCGUAAAACUCUGUUAUUAGGGAAGAACAAAUGUGUAAGUAACUAUGCACGUCUUGACGGUACCUAAUCAGAAAGCCACGGCUAACUACGUG
rnacentral:rRNA from 1 species